CAUGCAAGUCGAACGAGAAAGUGGAGCAAUCCAUGAGUAAAGUGGCGACCGGGUGAGUAACACGUGACUAACCUACCCUCGAGUGGGGAAUAACUCCGGGAAACCGGGGCUAAUACCGCAUAACAUCGCAAGAUCAAAGCAGCAAUGCGCUUGAGGAGGGGGUCGCGGCUGAUUAGCUAGUUGGCGGGGUAACGGCCCACCAAGGCGAAGAUCGGUAUCCGGCCUGAGAGGGCGCACGGACACACUGGAACUGAAACACGGUCCAGACUCCUACGGGAGGCAGCAGUGGGGAAUUUUGCGCAAUGGGGGAAACCCUGACGCAGCAACGCCGCGUGGAGGAUGAAGCCCUUUGGGGCGUAAACUCCUUUCGACUCGGACGAUAAUGACGGUACGAGUGGAAGAAGCACCGGCUAACUCUGUGCCAGCAGCCGCGGUAAUACAGAGGGUGCGAGCGUUGUUCGGAAUUAUUGGGCGUAAAGGGCGCGUAGGCGGUGCGGUAAGUCACCUGUGAAAUCUCCUGGCUUAACUGGGAGCCUGCAGGCGAAACUACCGUGCUGGAGUGUGGGAAAGGUGCGUGGAAUUCCCGG
rnacentral:rRNA from 1 species